CAGGCUGGGCUCAAACUCAGAAAUCCGCCUGCCUCUGCCUCCCAAGUGCUGGGAUUAAAAGCCUGGCAGCAAAGUGCUAAGAAUACAUUGAGUGUUCAGCCUUAAGUAAAACAUCUGUAUCACCUGCUCCAAGACUUUGGAACAUUGCAGAAGAAGAGAGAGAAAUGAUGUAAGAGCCAGAGGACAGGACAGACUUGUGUGAAACACUGUCUUCUGAACGUGAAAGAGGAACUUCUCGUUCAAACCACCACAAGUAGGUAAUACCUAGUAAGAGAAGUCGUCUGAGCAUGUCUUGGAAACGGUACUAGACUCUCUCUCUCUCUCCCUCUUCCCUCUCCUUCUCCCUCUCCCUCUCCUUCUCCCUCUCCCUCUCCUUCUCCCUCUCCCUCUCCCUCCUCUCUCCCUCUCCCCCUCUCCCCCUCUCCCCCUCUCCCUCUCCCUCUCCCUCUUCCCAUCCUCCCCCAGGGAACAGUAGUUUGCUACAUUGUUACAGGUCCAAAGCAACAAGGCCCAACAACCAUGAACUGACAACUUUAAGACUGUGAAACAAAAAUAAGCACCCCUGCCUUUCGUACUGACUGUUUCAGCCCAGGCCUUCCUCUCUGAUGCUGCAGUGAAUCUUCUAAGUCAGCCCAGGACUUACAGUGCCUCCACAUGAUAAGCAUGCUAAAGGCUCUGGUCUCUUCUCCCAGGCACCUGGAAUCAUGACUGUCUGUAGCAUGAACUCUUUUCCCUCCCCUUGUACUUACUUCAAACAAACAAACAGAAAACUAUGUCUGUCUUGGGAAGUGUUCUUGAUUCCCAACUCCUGUUCUACUUAUUGGAUUACAGUUCAUCUAUCAAGAAUCAACCCCAAGGGCAAAGGACACCAGAACAGCCCUACCCUGGACUUCCUGCUGCGUGCAUUGGCAUUGUCUACCAAGGAGGUUGCACCUGCCAUUCAGUGAGCUCGUGGAGGGAGACACAUCCCUCCAAUAUUUUUUUUAAAACUUGGUUGCUUUUUACAUUUUUGUUUGAUUGUCUGAUUACUUUCAGACAUAGUCUCACUAAACUUGCCAAGCUGGCCUUGAAUUCAUACAGUAGUCCAGACCGGCCCAGAGCUUGAGCUAUUACUCCCUCCUCCCCAAGACAGCUGUGAUCAGACCCAGCUGCCACCAGACCCAGCUUCUAAGACUGGGUUAGCAAGAAUAGCAUCAGAAAAACAGACACACACACAGUAUGGUGGCACACACCUCUCAUCCCAGCACUCAAAAAGACUGAGACAGGGCGAUCACUUGAAUCCAGGGUUGGAGACCCUGAGUCACAUGCAGAGACUCCAUCUCAGAAGAGAAAAGGAGCAGUUUCCCAAAGUCAUUGCUAUUAA
rnacentral:lncRNA from 1 species